rnacentral:rRNA from 1 species
ACUGAGACACGGCCCAGACUCCUACGGGAGGCAGCAGUGGGGAAUAUUGACAAUGGGCGAAAGCCUGAUCCAGCCAUGCCGCGUGAGUGAAGAAGGCCUUAGGGUUGUAAAGCUCUUUCAGCGGGGAAGAUAAUGACNGUACCUGCAGAAGAAGCCCCGGCUAACUUCGUGCCAGCAGCCGCGGUAAUACGAAGGGGGCUAGCGUUGUUCGGAUUUACUGGCGUAAAGCGCGCGUAGGCGGGUCGCUAAGUCAGGGGUGAAAUGCCAAGGCUCAACCUUGGAACUGCCUUUGAUACUGACGACCUGGAGUUCGGGAGAGGUGAGUGCAAUUCCGAGUGUAGAGGUGAAAUUCGUAGAUAUUCGGAGGAACACCAGAAGCGAAGGCGGCUCACUGGCCCGAUACUGACGCUGAGGCGCGAAAGCGUGGGGAGCAAACAGGAUUAGAUACCCUGGUAGUCCACGCCGUAAACGAUGA